rnacentral:lncRNA from 1 species
CCGAGUUAAUUACUUGGAGAAAUUAAACCACACUAUAUCGUACGGAUGAAGCAACUUACACAGCUCACGUUUCUAUAUUCCUGUUAUACAAACGAAAGCUUCAAGUAAUCGUGAAUGCUUUAUACUUCUCAGUCAAACGGAAACGAAACAGAUUCAAGGAUCAAUUUGCACAAGACAUAAACUGAAUAACUACCAUUUAACACAGUCCAAUUAUAGUCCAGUUUCAGUCAUAUGCAAAUCAUAACUAAGCUACGCUAAGCUUUUGUGUCUAAACUAUUUAUGCAUUAAUACAUAAUGGUCCAAAACAAGUAGAGCUUAAUAAGCACAGGGUUAAAUAUUUCUGAUUUGCAUCUCUACUUCAAACUCAGCACCAAUACAUCAGGAGAGAAACAAAUACCUGCAUAAUGGAAUACAAGAAAAAGAAGGAUAAUCAGCAGUAGCAAAUCAGCAACACAGACAGCAAUCAACAACGGCCCAGUAAUGAAUGCAGCAAACCCAUGAGAAUUCGAAACAAGACAAAACCAAAGUACUCAAACUCAAACAGCUCAAAUAAGCUCAAAUGACCUCAGAACUGAUACCCAGAAACACACCACAGCUUAAUCACCAGGAGUUGAAUUAAUGGAUUUGAAUUAGGCACAUAAUCUGAAAAUGACCACAGGCAAUCAAAUAGUAAUCCCUUAAACUCUCUCUCUCUCUUAGUGUUUUUAGAAGUAUUCCCACGCUCUCAAAGCUCUGUUGUGUGUUUAAGUUCUUAAAGACUGGCCAAACUCUCAAGAAUUGGUCGCUCUUACAAGCUCUCUCUCUUUUUCAACUAAACAACUGUUUCUCACUCAGAAAAAGAAACUCUGGACUUUUUCUUUAAUAUCCCCUCUCUCAAAUUGAUAAAAAGUUGUCCCUCCUAUGUCCAAACUCUUCUCCAUUUAUAACCCAAAACAGACCUGCCCCCCUUUUUGAAAAACUUAACCAUCCCACCGCCAAAAUACCAAAAGUCUGCCUAUACUUUUUGAAAAACUUACACAAGAGUGUUCUUUCCUUAAUUUCCUCCUUAAUUUAAGGCAGAUGUUAAGGGUUGUUCCCUAUCAACAUUAGACUAAUGUAUAAGUCUUUGUUUUAUUAGUGCUUGACUAACAGGCCAUUAACUUAGUUAAUUCUACCCACUUUUCAUUUUCAAAAUACCCCUAAAAUGUUAUUGUUAUUACUGCCCUGCCCUUAACCUUAAACCAAUUUAUUCUGACUCUAUCCCACCAGUAAAGGUAUUAAGCCAACUCAACAGUGCAUUUUUUCUUGGUUAAUUCAGAAAACUAUCAGUUCUUUAACAUGGCCAUUCCCAUUUUUAAAUUCAAACAGCUAUGGACAGCCAUGUUUUUCCUGACAGUCCAAACCAGUUUUUAUUAUAAAUGUCAUUAGACAUUAGUGUUUCCUGACAGUUCUAAUGAAGUGGUGCCCAAUUUUUAUUGUCUAACUUUAAAUGUUUCGAAAAGUCAUCAAGAAUCAAUUACGGAAUGUUAAUUAAACUGAAGCCUAAUCAACUACCACAAUAUAACAGUUAUAGCCAAUUUAAAAGAGAAUUCAAACAAUGAUCCUGUCACCAAAUCAAACAAGCACUAAUAUUAUUGUCGAAUUGUUCUAACAAACAAACCCAUACAACUAAUCGACGAUAUUUAUUUAAUCGAUGACACACAUAUGAUUGAUAACAAGUAAUCGACACAAACACAGUGGAUUUAUAGCUUUUGGAAAAAACAGGGGAAAUAUGAAACUAAAUAUUCGACGAUAUUAAUCGAAUCGAAUAUGUAUUUCAUAACAAAUACAUCAACCAGAGACAAUCAAACGACCAAAAUAAAAGGUCUACUGAAGAUGAAGAAUUUUGACAGAAAAAUAAUAGAAAAAUCAAAUAGGUAAAAACAGAUAUGAAAAUGAACACAAAUAAUCACAAACAUAAAUAGAAGGAAAAAGAGAACUUAUCUUUGAAAGCUCCUAAACUAACGACCCCAUCUUGGAUCAGACUCAACCAUUUGAGGUCGAAUGGGAUUUAAUCGGGGUGUUCUUAGUUGAGAACACCUAAACUAAAGUCCAUUAGACCUCAAUCAUCUAUAAAUUUGGACAAAUCUCCAUGGAUUUGAGUUCUAGGGUUCUUGAGGCUUAGGGGUUCGAGCUUUUCUGGCCAAAUUCGAACCAAACCACACUUGGUUUUGUCACAAGGGAGGUAGGGGGAUUAACUGGUGUGAAUUUGGGGUCAAUCGGUGUAGGUUGAGGUUUGGCUUGAAUCUUCAAAUGAAGAUUCGAGAAGCUAGGGAUCAAUUCAAGGCAAAUGGUUUGUGGUUUUGGAUUCAGGGUGGCUAGAUAGUCCUAGGGUGUUAUUUUGGUGGUCACCGGCAUUGUUGCCGCCGGGUUUAUGGCGGAGGGAGCUCAAUGGCGGCUAGAGUUUGGGGCUUGGUCUGGUCUAUGAGCUCUUAAGAGAGACGAAGUGAGAGGGGUAGGGUUGGCUA